AGGAUGGACGCUAGCGGCAGGCCUAAUACAUGCAAGCUGAACGGUAAAUAGUGUAGCAAUACAUUAUGAGAGUAGCGUAAGGGUGCGUAACACGUAUGCAAUCUGCCCUGUACAGGAGGAUAGCUCGGGGAAACCCGGAUUAAUACUUCGUAAUAUUAUUGGGGGGCAUCUCUUGAUAAUUAAAGUCGCAAGAUGGUACAGGAUGAGCAUGCGUCUGAUUAGCUAGUUGGUAGUCGUAACGGACUACCGAAGGCGAUGAUCAGUAGGGACUGAGAGUUGACUCCCCACACUGGCACUGAGAUACGGGCCAGACUCCCGUACGGGACGGCAAGCGAAGGUAGGGAAUAGUUGGUAC
rnacentral:rRNA from 1 species